GACGAACCGUCCAAACGUUAUUCGGAAUCACUGGGCUUACAGAGUUCGUAGGCGGUCUGGAAAGUUGGGUGUGAAAUCCCUCGGCUCAACCGAGGAACUGCGCUCAAAACUACCCGACUCGAGGGAGAUAGAGGAAAGCGGAACUGAUGGUGGAGCGGUGAAAUGCGUUGAUAUCAUCAGGAACACCGGUGGCGAAAGGCGGCUUUCUGGGUCGUCACCUGACGCUGAGGAACGAAAGCCAGGGAGCGAACGGG
rnacentral:rRNA from 1 species